UCUGUUGUGGCGUCUUUUCUAUUUGACUUCAUGGUUGUAAGUAUUUCCAGAUGGUGAAUCAGACACCAGACGUAACAAUAUUUCCAUAUUUGGGUAUAGCAGUAGCCUGCGUUUUUAACAUUUUUCUGCCUCUGUUAUCCAACCACAAAGCAUUCUUGACAGCUUCAAAUGUUGUUAAAUUUAGACUUAACUUCUGUUCCCAGAGCAGGAAAUUCUUUGGAAUUCCUUGUUUUUCACGCAAUCUUUCUAUCACGCUUUAAAAUAAAAUUGCAGUGGAUGAUCCAACUGGCCAUAUCUACCUUGUUCCUUUAUUGGGGGGAGGGGGGCACGGCCAAGGGCCAAGGGAUCCAGGCCCCCUUGGCCGCUGCACCUCUCUCCGCGAAUGCCAUUCCAGAGAUUCUUUUAACAAUCAGAUUAAAGUUUUCCAACAAGGGUCUGUGGGUUUGUUUCUGGACUUCAAUUGGGGGAUCUCGGAGGAGGAUGAGUUGGCCCCAGAGAAAAGAAACGUGCCUUCUGCGGCCCAUUUAAAGCCGCGGCUGCGUGGUGGCAGGGGGUGGGAGGCUGGAGCCACAGGGCCAGGAGGUGGGGGAGCGGGAGAGAGUGCAGUAACCUUGGUGCACAGCUUUUCCGUUCCCAGACAGCGUCCCGGUGCGCCUGCUAGCCAACGACGGCCUCAGGCGGGAGCAACGGCGGCCCCCCCCUCGCAUCCAGCCCAGGGACGGUCCCGAAACCCUAGACGUCCCGUCGCCUUCGCACCUCCUCGGCUGAGAGCUACAGAUCAGUUCACGUUGAUGGAUAGGAGGAGGAAAGGUACAAAUGUUUAAGGCUGUCCUUUCAAGCAGGAGCUCCCCUAUUCCAUGUAAGGAUUGCUAAGGACUUGGAGCUAGGGAUUGAUGAGGUGGGGUGAAAGGUGUUACCAGAUGUCAAGACUGCAUGCUGGGGGACUGGCGUUGUGACAUGAUGGGUGCCAUUUGUCACCUGCUUCACUUCCAAUCCAGCUCCCUGCUAUGGCCUGUGAGAAGCAGCGUAAGAUGGUCCAAGUCCUUGGGCCCCUGCACCCAUGUGAGACCCAGAUGAAGCACCUGGCUUCUGGCUUUGGUCUGGCAUAGCCCUGGUUGGUGGGAUCAUUUGGAAAGUGAACCAGCUGAUGGAAAAUCUCUCUAUGUCCCCCUUUCUCUCUCUCUCUGUAACUGACUUUCAAAUAAAAAAAAAAAAUGAUUUCAGGGCUGGAACUGUGGUGUAACAUUAGGUAAAGCCACUGGUUGUGGCACUAGCAUCCCAUAUGCACCACUUCUGAUCCAGUUCCCUGCUAAUGGCCUAGGAAAGAUGGCUCAAGUACUUGGGCUCCUGCCACCCAUGUUGGAAACCUGGCUCCUGGCUUCAGACUGGCCCAGCUCCAGCUGUUGCAGUCAUUUGGGGAGUAAACCAGUGGAUGGAAAUUCUCUUUCCUUAUUUCUCCCUCUCUGUAGCUCUGCCUUUCUAAUAAAUAAGAAAAUCUUUUUUAAAAAAUUCCAUGCUGGGUUUGGUGUUUGUCAGAGCACUUAACACUGCUUGGGAUUCCUGCGUAUUUUUCUGGACUGCCUGAUUCAAGUUCCAGCUCUGCUUCUGAUUCCAGUUUCCUUCUAAUUCACAUGCUGAGAGGCAGAGGUGAUGGCUUGAGUAAUUGGAUCCCUACCACCCAUGUAGGAGACCUAGAUUGAGUUUCCUGUCCCUGGCUUUGGCCUGGCUUACCCCAGCAAGCAUAUAGGGAGUGAACCAGCAAAUGAAAGGUCUCUUUCUCUCCCCCUCCCUUUCUUUGCAUUUCAAAUAAAUAACCAAUACAUAAAUAAAUUUUUUUAAAGGAUUGUAUUCUGGUAUUGGUAUGUUUUCUUGAAAUGACCAACUUUUUUUUUUUUUUUGAUAAUUGAAAAUGA